rnacentral:rRNA from 1 species
CAGCAGCCGCGGUAAUACGAAUGGGGCUAGCGUUGCUCGGAAUGACUGGGCGUAAAGGGGGCGUAGGCGGAUCGUUAAGUUGGGGGUGAAAGCCCGGGGCUCAACCUCGGAACUGCCUUCAAUACUGGCGAUCUUGAGUAUGAGAGAGGUGUGUGGAACUCCGAGUGUAGAGGUGAAAUUCGUAGAUAUUCGGAAGAACACCAGUGGCGAAGGCGACAUACUGGUCCAUUACUGACGCUGAGGCUCGAAAGCGUGGGGAGCAAACAGGAUUAGAUACCCCUGUAGUCCCUGUCUCUUAUAC